UUCCUGGAGGACUAGUGGUUAGUCCUCGGUGCUCUCUCUCACUACCAUGGCCUGGGUUCGAGUCCCGGCCAGGGAA